rnacentral:rRNA from 1 species
UACGUAGGGUGCGAGCGUUGUCCGGAAUUAUUGGGCGUAAAGAGCUCGUAGGCGGUUUGUCGCGUCUGCCGUGAAAGUCCGGGGCUUAACUCCGGAUCUGCGGUGGGUACGGGCAGACUAGAGUGAUGUAGGGGAGACUGGAAUUCCUGGUGUAGCGGUGAAAUGCGCAGAUAUCAGGAGGAACACCGAUGGCGAAGGCAGGUCUCUGGGCAUUAACUGACGCUGAGGAGCGAAAGCAUGGGGAGCGAACAGG